rnacentral:lncRNA from 1 species
AUGGAGAUGGGAUAGGGAAUGCUAACACUGCAUUUUCCAGGAAGGCUAGAGGCUAGACUUGGGUUGAUGCCCUGUGCAGCGGCCUUUAGACACUUGCAUGCUUGUUGGCGGUCCGCUGUGGUUUGAGCCAUACCAUUCAAUUUUUUGACUCCCGCACAGCAUGGAGGUGGCACCUCCCCGCCACUCGAUAGGUAGGUGGCACAUGGAGCCAAGCUACUUGUCACUGUGCCACAUGUGAUUGCUGCAUCUACUGAUGCGACAAUGCAC